rnacentral:rRNA from 1 species
GACGAACGCUGGCGGCGUGCCUAAUACAUGCAAGUCGAACGCUUCUUUCCUCCCGAGUGCUUGCACUCAAUUGGAAAGCGGCGUGGCGGACGGGUGAGUAACACGUGGGUAACCUACCCAUCAGAGGGGGAUGACACUUGGAAACAGGUGCUAAUACCGCAUAACAGUUUAUGCCGCAUGGCAUAAGAGUGAAAGGCGCUUUCGGGUGUCGCUGAUGGAUGGACCCGCGGUGCAUUAGCUAGUUGGUGAGGUAACGGCUCACCAAGGCCACGAUGCAUAGCCGACCUGAGAGGGUGAUCGGCCACACUGGGACUGAGACACGGCCCAGACUCCUACGGGAGGCAGCAGUAGGGAAUCUUCGGCAAUGGACGAAAGUCUGACCGAGCAACGCCGCGUGAGUGAAGAAGGUUUUCGGAUCGUAAAACUCUGUUGUUAGAGAAGAACAAGGACGUUAGUAACUGAACGUCCCCUGACGGUAUCUAACCAGAAAGCCACGGCUAACUACGUG